AUUGAACGCUGGCGGAAUGCUUUACACAUGCAAGUCGAACGGCAGCACGGACUUCGGUCUGGUGGCGAGUGGCGAACGGGUGAGUAAUAUAUCGGAACGUGCCCAGUCGUGGGGGAUAACGUAGUGAAAAUUACGCUAAUACCGCAUACGAUCUACGGAUGAAAGCGGGGGAUCGCAAGACCUCGCGCGAUUGGAGCGGCCGAUAUCAGAUUAGGUAGUUGGUGAGGUAAAGGCUCACCAAGCCAACGAUCUGUAGCUGGUCUGAGAGGACGACCAGCCACACUGGGACUGAGACACGGCCCAGACUCCUACGGGAGGCAGCAGUGGGGAAUUUUGGACAAUGGACGCAAGUCUGAUCCAGCCAUUCCGCGUGCAGGACGAAGGCCUUCGGGUUGUAAACUGCUUUUGUACAGAACGAAAAGGCCUCUAUUAAUACUGGGGGCUCAUGACGGUACUGUAAGAAUAAGCACCGG
rnacentral:rRNA from 1 species